AGAUUGAACGCUGGCGGCAGGCCUAACACAUGCAAGUCGAGCGGCAGCACGGGUACUUGUACCUGGUGGCGAGCGGCGGACGGGUGAGUAAUGCCUAGGAAUCUGCCUGAUAGGUGGGGGAUAACGUUCGGAAACGGACGCUAAUACCGCAUACGUCCUACGGGAGAAGCGGGGACCUUCGGGCCUCGCGCCAUUAGAUGAGCCUAGGUCGAUUAGCUAGUUGGUGAGGUAUGCUCACGAAGCGACGAUCCGUAACUGGUCUGGAGAGGAUGAUCAGUCACACUAGGAACUGAAGACACGGUCCAGACCUCCGUACGGGACGGCAGCGAGGUAGGGGAAUUAGUAGGACAAGU
rnacentral:rRNA from 1 species